GAUGAACGCUGGCGGCGUGCCUAAUACAUGCAAGUCGAGCGAACAGACGAGGAGCUUGCUCCUCUGACGUUAGCGGCGGACGGGUGAGUAACACGUGGAUAACCUACCUAUAAGACUGGGAUAACUUCGGGAAACCGGAGCUAAUACCGGAUAAUAUAUUGAACCGCAUGGUUCAAUAGUGAAAGACGGUUUUGCUGUCACUUAUAGAUGGAUCCGCGCCGCAUUAGCUAGUUGGUAAGGUAACGGCUUACCAAGGCAACGAUGCGUAGCCGACCUGAGAGGGUGAUCGGCCACACUGGAACUGAGACACGGUCCAGACUACUACGGGAGGCAGCAGUAGGGAAUCUUCCGCAAUGGGCGAAAGCUUGACGGAGCACCGCCGCGUGGGUGAUGAAGGUCUUCGGAUCGUAAAACUCUGUUAUUAGGGAAGAACAAAUGUGUAAGUAACUAUGCACGUCUUGACGGUACCUAAUCAGAAAGCCACGGCUAACUACGUG
rnacentral:rRNA from 1 species